GUCGAGCGAAUGGNUUGAGAGCUUGCUCUCAAGAAGUUAGCGGCGGACGGGUGAGUAACACGUGGGUAACCUGCCCAUAAGACUGGGAUAACUCCGGGAAACCGGGGCUAAUACCGGAUAAUAUUUUGAACUGCAUGGUUCGAAAUUGAAAGGCGGCUUCGGCUGUCACUUAUGGAUGGACCCGCGUCGCAUUAGCUAGUUGGUGAGGUAACGGCUCACCAAGGCAACGAUGCGUAGCCGACCUGAGAGGNUGCUAAAANCAUACUGGGACUGAGACACGGNCAANACUCNUACGGGAGGCAGCAGUAGGGAAUCUUCCGCAAUGGACGAAAGUCUGACGGAGCAACGCCGCGUGAGUGAUGAAGGCUUUCGGGUCGUAAAACUCUGUUGUUAGGGAAGAACAAGUGCUAGUUGAAUAAGCUGGCACCUUGACGGUACCUAACCAGAAAGCCACGGCUAACUACGUGCCAGCAGCCGCGGUAAUACGUAGGUGGCAAGCGUUAUCCGGAAUUAUUGGGCGUAAAGCGCGCGCAGGUGNUUUCUUAAGUCUGAUGUGAAAGCCCACGGCUCAACCGUGGAGGGUCAUUGGAAACUGGGAGACUUGAGUGCAGAAGAGGAAAGUGNAAUUCCAUGUGUAGCGGUGAAAUGCGUA
rnacentral:rRNA from 1 species